CCAGCUGCCCAGGAGGAAGCCUUGAAUCUGUGGCAGUGGAUUGAGCUAGAAAUGUGACAGGAAGGCACUCAUAAAGGCUGGAAGAAGCUGUUGGGUGUACUUGAAGGCAGAAAGCCAACACUGACACCUCCCUCAGAAGAAAGUGAGGAGUAAGGAAUACCAGCUCAGAGAAGAGGAUUUGCAUGGAUAGGAAAGAAGCUGGGAUGGUAAAAGACAAAUGAAACUAAUUACAACAUUGAAAAGCCCCUCAAGAUGGUGUCACAGCCAACUGCAGCUUUCGUGGUUUGUUGCUGAAUGCACUUUCUCUGCUUCUGUGCUGCUCCUUCCAAAGAAGACCACCAAAUCUUGCUUGCCUCACUGGGUAGGACAUACUCUGCAUUUUUAUGACCUGAUGCUUUCUGCUAAAUACAUGAAGUUCAAAUCUGCGACAGCUCCCCUGACUUCAAAAGUAAAUGUAUAACUUUUUAAACAAGGCAGGUCAGAAACAAGAAGCAAUCCUGCUGCAGCAGCAUACUUCUGAACAAGGGGUGGUUUCUUCUCUUCCCUUGAUAACUAAAAUACAAGACAAUUUGCAGCGGUGUCACUGACUCUCAUAAGUGCUCCAGAUCUCUGAUGCCUCUCACCCUCAUUUAUAACAGAGAACAGCAGAAUAAUACUCCUAGUUGAUUUGGUAGUGUAAUGAAGAAUCCUCAUGCACAGCAGUGGAGAAGCCAGGCUUGCACUUCUAGAGUAUAAAAUUACUGAUAAGCAAUUCUCCCUUUCCCCAGCUAUCUGAUGUAACUGAGAUACGGAGGGAUGAGGUUUCAACUUCAUGGCUCUGUUCCUGGACUUCAGCCUUUCACAGUAUGCAAACUCAUGAUCUUACUACUCAAGGAGUUGAUUUCUUCAGGAAUUCUUCAGAGAUUCAAAGUGCAGAUAGGACAGCGCACUGUGCCUGAACUGAUUGCAGGCAAAUUCUAAUAAGUGGAUGGGAAAGUCUUUAACUGCUUUGUUUGCUUUCAAAAGGCAUUUUGCUCAAUCUGGUGUGAUGAGUCAAGAACUGCUUUUACUGUUUGGACAAGAAAUCAUUCAUCCAGCUCUUAGAAUUACAUUUGAAGAGACUUAAUCAUCAGUCCUGCCAACAGCAAGCUAAGACUCUGUCAGCACUCUACACUAUGCAGACCUGACAACAAGGCACUUCGGUCACAUCUAAUGUUUGUAGAUAGGCUGCAGCUCUUUGCAAUGCAUUGCAGGAGCCAGUGGCAUCAACAGGGUGCUCUCACUACUUCCUUGGCUGAUUCCCCACCUGCCUUGGUACAAGCAACAUGUUUGCCAAAGAUGACAAGCUCUGUGGUGUGGUCAGCAUGCUGGAGGGAAGGGAUGCCAUCCAGAGAGAACCUGACAGAC